rnacentral:rRNA from 1 species
AUGUCUGGGAAACUGCCUGAUGGAGGGGGAUAACUACUGGAAACGGUAGCUAAUACCGCAUAACGUCGCAAGACCAAAGAGGGGGACCUUCGGGCCUCUUGCCAUCAGAUGUGCCCAGAUGGGAUUAGCUAGUAGGUGGGGUAAUGGCUCACCUAGGCGACGAUCCCUAGCUGGUCUGAGAGGAUGACCAGCCACACUGGAACUGAGACACGGUCCAGACUCCUACGGGAGGCAGCAGUGGGGAAUAUUGCACAAUGGGCGCAAGCCUGAUGCAGCCAUGCCGCGUGUGUGAAGAAGGCCUUCGGGUUGUAAAGCACUUUCAGCGAGGAGGAAGGUGGUGAGCUUAAUACGCUCAUCAAUUGACGUUACUCGCAGAAGAAGCACCGGCUAACUCCGUGCCAGCAGCCGCGGUAAUACGGAGGGUGCAAGCGUUAAUCGGAAUUACUGGGCGUAAAGCGCACGCAGGCGGUUUGUUAAGUCAGAUGUGAAAUCCCCGGGCUCAACCUGGGAACUGCAUUUGAAACUGGCAAGCUAGAGUCUCGUAGAGGGGGGUAGAAUUCC